rnacentral:rRNA from 1 species
AUUGAACGCUGGCGGCAGGCUUAACACAUGCAAGUCGAGCGGAGAUGAGGUGCUUGCACCUUAUCUUAGCGGCGGACGGGUGAGUAAUGCUUAGGAAUCUGCCUAUUAGUGGGGGACAACAUUCCGAAAGGAAUGCUAAUGCCGCAUACGUCCUACGGGAGAAAGCAGGGGAUCUUCGGACCUUGCGCUAAUAGAUGAGCCUAAGUCGGAUUAGCUAGUUGGUGGGGUAAAGGCCUACCAAGGCGACGAUCUGUAGCGGGUCUGAGAGGAUGAUCGGCCACACUGGGACUGAGACACGGCCCAGACUCCUACGGGAGGCAGCAGUGGGGAAUAUUGGACAAUGGGGGGAACCCUGAUCCAGCCAUGCCGCGUGUGUGAAGAAGGCCUUAUGGUUGUAAAGCACUUUAAGCGAGGAGGAGGCUACUGAGACUAAUACUCUUGGAUAGUGGACGUUACUCGCAGAAUAAGCACCGGCUAACUCUGUGCCAGCAGCCGCCGUAACAC